rnacentral:misc_RNA from 1 species
AUGGAGACUGCCGCAGCGCUUUGCGAGAAGGAACCGAAGAAAGACUGAAUUCUCUCGUAUUGAUCUCUAGCACGGGGGUUAAUCCCUGGGCGUGCCUCAUCACGAACAGCAUUGUAUUCCAAAACAACCGCUCUCGGUUGGGAAAUCGUGGAUUGCCUUGCACAGCGAGCAGCGUACUCGCCAAGCGUACUGCCCAGAACAGGCCUGUGAUCGUCGGGAACGGCACCGAGAGCCGGAUCCGGAAGAGGAUCGUGCGGAGCCCUCAGUACCAGUUAUGGGCACGUAAUGAGCACCGAAAAUGGUGCUCUUGUGCAGGGCGGCUGCGCUGAGCGCAAGCGGCGAGCUGCGCGUUCGAAAACACCUGACCACAGCGAAGUAGCAGCUCGUCUUACGGGUCACCGAGUCUGUUUCCAGGAGUGACGAGAAUGGCAAGCGAACCGAAAACCGCGACUGCUGUCUGUGCAUGAAAUCGAGCGACAGCAUUCUUGAGCUGCGAAACUGAGACUUUCACGCUGCUAUGAACAGUGCUCGAAUGCGGACAACGGGGCUGGAUGGAAAGGAGAGACUGGCGUAGUGUAAGCGAGAGACAAGCGUGUAGAAAAGGAAGCAGCCGCAGAUAACCCCUGCAAAAAAGCCGAUGUUGAAGACAGCAGGAACAUGGACCGAAUCAUUAGUGUCUGCGCCCGAGUUAGAGGACCAGUUCUAUUUAUUCUGACGAGGUGGUGUCCUCAGCGAGUGAACGAGGCCAACGCUUUUCAGGUAUGGCAACUACGGAUCUUUCGUGUUGCAUCUUUGCCAUCGAGUCAGGCGCCGGUCUCGAAAACGAUGUAGCCGUCGUUUUUGCUUGGAUACCAAGUGCUGGUACCGGGCCCUGUAGCUUUGCGAUCGAGCGAGAAGCCAGUCUCGAACGCGUUGCUGCCGUCGCGAAAACGUGACUUGCUCGAAGGUUGUUCUCGGGCUGGCGUUUGCAAGGCCAGGUGCAAGCCGGCUUGUCUCCUUAUGGCGGUUGAAAAGUCGCUGCACUUGUAAUCCCGAAGUUGCUGGCGCAUCUGACAAAGAAACGAAGCGCCCGGCGCUACUGACUCGAACCUACACAAGGUCAUGCUCUGUUGGCUUGCCAGUUAGUGUCCGGAACAAGGACUCACAGCUCAGCUAUCACGUGACGCUGUUGCCUAGCACCAGCUCCGAUGCGAUAUUUCACUGCAUACUCGAACGGAAGGCUCCGGCUUUGCUCGACAAGACUUGAACAAGUGAGCUUCGGCACCAGUGCGUGUAUCUUCGGAUCAGACGCCCCGCACAUAAUGCUGGACAGGGAUUGCACACCUUCAGACGCCACUUCAGAGCGUGCACCUGCCGCCUGUUACGACGGAUGCAGCGUGGACCCGAACACGCGUGCGCUCCGAACGUACACCUGAUGCAAGUUAUAGCGUGCUUCCGCCUCGGCGGUCGGUGCAUCGCGGAACUACGACGGAUGCAGCGUGGACCCGAACACGCGUGCGCUCCGAACGUACACCUGAUGCAAGUUAUAGCGUGCUUCCGCCUCGGCGGUCGGUGCAUCGCGGAACUCGGUGUAGUGCUCUGUGGCAGCGAGUCCAUCGGCGGGGUGUCGUUCAGCACUGCAGCCGCAUCAGUAUAGGCCGCGGAGAACGGUUCGGGUGCGAUGAGCCUCGCGGGAGUCAACCAGGGGCUCGCUUGAUCCAGCGACCCAACGGUUGCCGCACGUAGAACAGACAACAACAGCAUGGCGCUGCGGGCUUCUUUGGAGGUCGCCAUGCGACAUGUCGCCAAGGCACCUGGUCGCCCGCGGGAGCGAAUGCUGUAGCGCUCGAGAAGAAGUGAUCGAGCGAAUCGAUCCGACCGACGAUCCGACGGAUUUGACUCGUAGAGAAAGACUGCAAACGAGCUCGAGAACCUCGCUAUUGACCUCAGGAAAGUUACAAGACCCGAUGUGCAUACACCCUAGCCUCACAGGGCUGUGAGCGGCGCCGCGGGUACACGCGGUGCGCUCAGAGAAGCGCUUCAACAAAACUGCAUCAACCGAGCAGUGCUCGAGUGCUUUGUUUACGUAUUCGAGCGCAAGCUUUGGAUGCUGUCCGUGAGCUGUGCUCCUUCGAUACCAAACGUUCCAGAUCCAGCAACUGUACCUGAAUUUGUCCUCGAAAGGCGCAUCUCGUCAUCGUCAGGAAAAUCGCAUGCGUGAAUCCUACACCCCCAGCGAAACAUCGCGAUAGCCACUGAGGUAUACGUUGUUGAUGUCGUCUUCCAUGCUGUGAUCCCAGCGUCCACUAUCCUGUUUCGGAUCGAAUGCUGCAAGGUUUUCCCGUAACUGCUCCAUACUGGUCGCCCCGAUGAUCGUGCUUGCAGUGAACCAACGCGAUCGAACAAAAGAGAGCGCUAGCUGAGACGGAGUUUUCUUGUAUUUGCGGGCGAUCUCCGUGUAGCGUUCCACGGCAGCCAUACAGGUCGGCGUCUGAUACCGCUGCAUAUACCGUUUGAACAAGGUAAAUCGCGCUCGUUCUCGCUGGCUCGGAUCGCUGGACGGGAGAUACUUUCCACUGAGUGCACCGCCCGCCAGAGGCGAGUACGCCAGCAACGGCACGUCGCAGUACGUACUUGCCUCGGCAUGGGCGCCUUCAAAUUGGCGAUGAAGCAGCGAGUAGGAAUUCUGAAUGGAAACAACUCUUGGCAGGCCUAGAGUGGAAGCGAUACGGGUGAACUCCAUGAUACCCACAGGUGUCUCGUUGCUGAGCCCAACAUACCGUACCUUGCCCUGGCGAAUAAGGGCGUCCAUGGCACGUAACUGUUCCUCCAGGGAACGAGUGAUGUUGUUACGGUCCGCUGCACUCAGCGGGCCUGGAUAUGCAUGGCUCCCGAAAAGCGGCACCGGUCGAGCGGGCCAGUGAAUUUGGUAAAGAUCGAUGUAGUCCGUUUGCAGCCGAGUGAGCGACCCGUUGCAUGCCUCGAUGAUGGAGUCGUAGUCGAGUUUCGGUCCUCCGCGGAUCCAGGAGAUAUCGCGCCCCGGGCCGCACACUUUCGUUGCCACGUAGAUCCGCUCCCGCACGCCUGGAUUCUUCUUAAACCAGUUCCCAAU